AUAAGAGAGAAUUCAAUAUUACAAAAAAUUUGAACUUUUUUUUCAAGUGGUCACUGAACCAUGAAAAUGAGGUCAAGAACAUUGGACAUGUGACUGACGGAAACUUCGUAACAUGAAGCAUCUAUAUACAAAGUAUGAAGCAUCCAGGUCUUCCACCUUCUAAAAUAUAAAGCUUUUAAGAAGUGAGCUAACGCCGCCGCC
rnacentral:lncRNA from 1 species